GAUGAACGCUGGCGGCGUGCCUAAUACAUGCAAGUCGAGCGAACAGAUGAGGAGCUUGCUCCUCUGACGUUAGCGGCGGACGGGUGAGUAACACGUGGAUAACCUACCUAUAAGACUGGGAUAACUUCGGGAAACCGGAGCUAAUACCGGAUAAUAUAUUGAACCGCAUGGUUCAAUAGUGAAAGACGGUUUUGCUGUCACUUAUAGAUGGAUCCGCGCCGCAUUAGCUAGUUGGUAAGGUAACGGCUUACCAAGGCAACGAUGCGUAGCCGACCUGAGAGGGUGAUCGGCCACACUGGAACUGAGACACGGUCCAGAGUCCUACGGGAGGCAGCAGAAGGGAAUCUUCCGCAAUGGGCGAAAGCCUGACGGAGCAACGCCGCGUGAGUGAUGAAGGUCUUCGGAUCGGAAAACUCUGUUAUUAGGGAAGAACAAAUGUGUAAGUAACUAUGCACGUCUUGACGGUACCUAAUCAGAAAGCCACGGCUAACUACGUG
rnacentral:rRNA from 1 species